rnacentral:rRNA from 1 species
AUUGAACGCUGGCGGCAGGCCUAACACAUGCAAGUCGAGCGGAAGAACAGUACUAGCUCGUUGUUACGGGUGCCGACUGGUGGAUGGGUCCUAGAAAUCUCCCUGUCUGUUUUUUCUAGCGGCCUAACACGGGCACUCUUACCCCAUUCCCCCAUACGGCGUACGGGUGAGAGCUGCGGAUCUUCCGCCAUCGCAUGAUCCUAUGACCCGAUGUCGGAUUAGCUAGUUGGCGGGGUAAAGGCCCACCAAGGCGACGAUCCGUAGCUGGUCUGAGAGGAUGAUCAGCCACACUGGAACUGAGACACGGUCCAGACUCCUACGGGAGGCAGCAGUGGGGAAUAUUGGACAAUGGGCGAAAGCCUGAUCCAGCCAUGCCGCGUGGGUGAAGAAGGCCUUCGGGUUGUAAAGCCCUUUUGUUGGGAAAGAAGAGCAGCAGGUUAAUACCCCGCUGUUCUGACGGUACCAAAAGAAUAAGCACCGGCUAACUUCGUG